GGAGUCUUCAUCCUCAUUGCGCUUCCUGGACAAUCGUACCCUCAUCCUGUAUGGCACAUUCCUGUAAAUAACACAGGUGAACGUUAGUCUCAUCCUGUAAAUAACACAGGUGAACGUUAGUCUCAUCCUGUAAAUAACACAGGUGAACGUUAGUCUCAUCCUGUAAAUAACACAGGUGAACGUUAGUCUCAUCCUGUAAAUAACACAGGUGAACGUUAGUCUCAUCCUGUAAAUAACACAGGUGAACGUUAGUCUCAUCCUGUAAAUAACACAGGUGAACGUUAGUCUCAUCCUGUAAAUAACACAGGUGAACGUUAGUCUCAUCCUGUAAAUAACACAGGUGAACAUUAGUCUCAUCCUGUAAAUAACACAGGUGAACAUUAGUCUCAUCCUGUAAAUAACACAGGUGAACAUUAGUCUCAUCCUGUAUGGAACGUUCCUGUAAAUAACACAGGUGAACGUUAGUCUCAUCCUGUAAAUAACACAGGUGAACGUUAGUCUCAUCCUGUAAAUAACACAGGUGAACAUUAGUCUCAUCCUGUAAAUAACACAGGUGAACAUUAGUCUCAUCCUGUAAAUAACACAGGUGAACAUUAGUCUCAUCCUGUAAAUAACACAGGUGAACAUUAGUCUCAUCCUGUAAAUAACACAGGUGAACGUUAGUCUCAUCCUGUAAAUAACACAGGUGAACGUUAGUCUCAUCCUGUAAAUAACACAGGUGAACAUUAGUCUCAUCCUGUAAAUAACACAGGUGAACAUUAGUCUCAUCCUGUAAAUAACACAGGUGAACAUUAGUCUCAUCCUGUAUGGAACGUUCCUGUAAAUAACACAGGUGAACAUUAGUACUAAGCAGAAUGAAAACAUGCUUGUGCAACAAGUUGUAGUGUUAUUUGUGUCAACAACCAUAAGUGGUUGUAUGGGCAGAGAAAGAGCUGUUACCGAACCCUUUCCUCAAGCACCCCCAGCUACUCCAUGUUUUUGAUAUUUGAACACGUAUUUGUUCCUGAGGAAGCACACCUGGGCCACGUUCAGCUGCCAAACGUUCUCGAACGUUGCAGAUAGAAAUGCCAUGAACAGAGCCGAUGUGAUUCCUUAUUCUACAUGUCAGAGAGGCAUGUUUGAUCAACAUACCCUAUUUCUAUCUGAAUGUUCCAAAACGUUUGAUCCUGCUGAAAGCGCCCCAUUCAACUAAUGGGCUUAGUGAUUGUUUAACCAACUUAAUAUGGUUUGGGAAACACGAGUACAGUAAUACCUGAUUCAUAUGAUAACAGGGUGUAUUCACUAGACACCAAAUGGAAGCAAACAGCAGAAAUGGGGAGAAACCUCUGAACUUGUCCAAUAGAAACCCCAUGUUUACUGUUGCAAAACAUUCUGCUACAGUGUGCACUAAUGAAUACACCCGAUUAAUCUUUAAACAGGCGUCUC